UUCUUCUUCCUGCCCAAUAGCUGUCACCGAAUCCUGUGCUGUUGCUGGCCCCUCCAUGCCUUUAAUGGUGCCUGAAAGCAGAAUGUGAAUAUCAGAAGGCGUCUAACACAUACGUAUUGGGAUAGGCCAGUAGCUUCUUCUUCCUGCCCAAUAGCCGUCACUGAAUCCUGUGCUGUUGCUGGCCCCUCCAUGCCUUUAAUGGUGCCUGAAAGCAGAAUGUGAAUAUCAGAAGGCGUCUAACACAUACGUAUUGGGAUAGGCCAGUAGCUUCUUCUUCCUGCCCAAUAGCUGUCACUGAAUCCUGUGCUGUUGCUGGCCCCUCCAUGCCUUUAAUGGUGCCUGAAAGCAGAAUGUGAAUAUCAGAAGGCAUCUAACACAUACGUAUUGGGAUAGGCCAGUAGCUUCUUCUUCCUGCCCAAUGGCCGUCACUGAAUCCUGUGCUGUUGCUGGCCCCUCCAUGCCUUUAAUGGUGCCUGAAAGCAGAAUGUGAAUAUCAGAAGGCGUCUAACACAUACGUAUUGGGAUAAGUCCUUAGCUUCUUCCUGCCCAAUAGCCGUCACUGAAUCCUGUGCUGUUGCUGGCCCCUCCAUGCCUUUAAUGGUGCCUGAAAGCAGAAUGUGAAUAUCAGAAGGCAUCUAACACAUACGUAUUGGGAUAGGCCAGAAGCUUCUUCUUCCUGCCCAAUAGCUGUCUCUGAAUCCUGUGCUGUUGCUGGCCCCUCCAUGCCUUUAAUGGUGCCUGAAAG